rnacentral:rRNA from 1 species
UACGUAGGGAGCAAGCGUUAUCCGGAUUUACUGGGUGUAAAGGGCGUGUAGGCGGGCUGGCAAGUCAGAUGUGAAAACCAUGGGCUCAACCCAUGGCCUGCAUUUGAAACUGUUGGUCUUGAGUGCUGGAGAGGCAAUCGGAAUUCCGUGUGUAGCGGUGAAAUGCGUAGAUAUACGGAGGAACACCAGUGGCGAAGGCGGAUUGCUGGACAGUAACUGACGCUGAGGCGCGAAAGCGUGGGGAGCAAACAGG